ACAUUAAUAAACUGCUGUUCAACACAUGUGCACAUAAGACUGAAAUUUUCAAUUUCUGCAAAAAUGGUGUUUUCUAUAAAACUUCUAAUAUGUGUGCUAGCUUCAAUGUUAAUACAUAUCCUGUGUGAGCCCAGACAAUCGAAAUUUACACAAGCUUGCUUAAAAUGGGCAGAAGAUAGCCUACUAACUACAACGAUGGGACAAAAAAUCGACGAAUUAGAAUUCCUUUCCACAGCGGCUCUUUUUGUCCUCAAUAAGAGUAUGUUUACACCAGUAAAGUUCGCAUGCACUGCGGUACUAAUUUCUCAUAAGAAAUUGAUAACAUCAGGUCAUUGCGUGUCCGACCCAAUCGAAAAAAUUCCAUUAUUCAUUCGAUU